rnacentral:rRNA from 1 species
AGUGAACGCUGGCGGUAGGCCUAACACAUGCAAGUCGAACGGCAGCACACUACGAUCUUGCUCUUACGGGUGGCGAGUGGCGGACGGUUGAUGACUACAUCGGAAUCUACUUUUUCGUGGGGGAUCACGUAGGGAAACUUACGCUAAUACCGCAUCCUACCUACGGGUGAAAGCCGGGGAUCUUCGGACCUUGCGCGAUUGAAUGUGCCGAUGUCGGAUUAGUUAGUUGGCGGGCUAAUGGCCCAACAAGGCGACGAUCGGUAGCUGGUCUGCGAGGCGGAAUAGGCACAUGGGAAGUGAGAAAGGUUACAGACACCUGAGGGAGGAAGCAGUGGAGAAUAUUGGACAAUGGGGGAGAGCCUGAUACAGGCAUACCGCGUGGGGGAAGAAGGCGUUAUGGUGGGAAAGUCCAUUUGGUGGGAGAGAAAAGCAGCAGGUUAAGACGCCGCGGUGCUGACGGUACCCAAAGAAGAAGCACCGGCUAACUUCGUG